UUUUCUUCCCCGACGAAAGAGCUUUACAAUCCAAAGGCCUUCUUCACUCACGCGGCAUCGCUGCAUCAGAGUUUCCUCCAUUGUGCAAGAUUCCCCACUGCUGCCUCCCGUAGGAGUUUGGGCCGUGUCUCAGUCCCAAUGUGGCUGAUCAUCCUCUCAAAUCAGCUAUUGAUCACAGUCUUGGUAGGCCAUUACCCCACCAACAAACUAAUCAAGUGCAGGCUCAUCCAAUGGUGCAUAAAGCUUUCUCCGUAAAGACUUAUCCGGUAUUAGCACAAGUUUCCUCGUGUUAUUCCAGGCCAAAGGGCAGAUACCUACAUGUUACUCACCCGUCUGCCACUAAGUAUUGCUACUUCGUUCGACUUGCAUGUGUUAGGCGUGCCGCCAGCGUACGUUCUGAGCCAUGAUCAAACUCU
rnacentral:rRNA from 1 species